rnacentral:rRNA from 1 species
GACGAACGCUGGCGGCGUGCUUAACACAUGCAAGUCGAACGCUGAAGCCCUGUCUUUUGUUGGGUUGGAUGAGUGGCGAACGGGUGAGUAACACGUGAGUAACCUGCCCUCUUCUUUGGGAUAACGCCCGGAAACGGGUGCUAAUACUGGAUAUUCACUGGCCUUCGCAUGGGGGUUGGUGGAAAGGUUUGUUCUGGUGGGGGAUGGGCUCGCGGCCUAUCAGCUUGUUGGUGGGGUGAUGGCCUACCAAGGCUUUGACGGGUAGCCGGCCUGAGAGGGUGACCGGUCACAGUGGGACUGAGAUACGGCCCAGACUCCUACGGGAGGCAGCAGUGGGGAAUAUUGCAGAAGGGGCGAAAGCCUGAUGCAGCGACGACGCGUGAGGGAUGGAGGCCUUGGGGUUGUAAACCUCUUUCGCUCAUGGUCAAGCCGCAACUGUGGGUUGUGGUGAGGGUAGUGGGUAAAGAAGCGCCGGCUAACUACGUG